AGUAGUAGUGUAUAUAGUAGCCGUGUAUAUAGCAGUAGAAGUAAUAAUAAUAGUAAUAAUAAUAAUAAUAAUAGGGCAACAGUUCGCUCUUAUUCAUAAAAUCAUUCUUUUCACCGUCACGUUCAAGUUUUAGUGAUUAAAUAAUACAAGGAAGCAUGACAGUUGAACCUAACGCUCAUAUUCUCGAACGCUUCGGGGCCUACACCACCGUUGCCAGAUUAUCGUCCUCAGAACAUAGUAUUUACCGGUUUCUAAGCCAUAACUAUUGCCAAGAAACACCGAUAAUUAACCACUUCAACGAUAACUAUAUAUGAAGUCAGUUAAUGGGGUGGAGGAGACAGGUUAUGGCUCUGAAUUCGGCAAACAUAAGAGGAUGAGUAGGACAAUCUGGCAACGCUGGCCUACACACAUAUAUGAUGAAAAUUUCGUAAGAGUUGUGAACAUGUCCACGGAUAGUUUUGCGAACCUAGUAAUAGUUUGACUAGGCUUCUUCUGCACCGUGAACGUUGAAGACACUCAUGAGAACCAAACAUAUAUUCCUUGUGAUCGAGAGAGAGAGAGAGAGAGAGAGAGAGAGAGAGAGAGAGAGAGAGAGAGAGAGAGAGAGAGAGAGAGAGAGAGAGAGAGAGAGAGAGAGAGAGAGAGAGAGAGAGAGAGAGAGAGAGAUUCCAUAUGACCGUUUCCGUUUUUGGUCCUAAUAUGUUUAAUUGGGUCCUUCUGUCUAAAGUUAACUGCCCAAUUACUUUUUGUUCCUAACCGCCAUUAUAAUAUUCCUAAACUCAAUGAGGCAACGAGUUAGUUUAAGCGCUUAUUACUUUCAACUACUUUUUUUCCUAAUCGUCACUAGAAUCCACCAAACACGAGUAGGUGAGAGAGAGAGAGAGAGAGAGAGAGAGAGAGAGAGAGAGAGAGAGAGAGAGAGAGAGAGAGACGAUUCCAUAUGACCGUUUCCGUUUUCGGUCCUAAUAUGUUUAAUUGGGUCCUUCUGUCUAUCUUAAGUUAACUGCCCAAUUACUUUUUGCUCUUAACCAUUAUAAUAUUCCUAAACUCAAUGAGGUAACGAGUUAGUUUAAGCGCUUAUUACUUUCAACUACUUUUUGUUCCUAAUCGUCACUAGAAUCCACCAAACAUGAGGUUAGAACAAGUAGGUUUUAGCUCAUAUUACUUUCCCCAUGGCUCGCAUUUUCCUUUCACUUCUAAAAAUAAAUUUGCAAAUAAAUAAAUGAAUAACAACAAUUUCCUAGUAUACAAAUGUCAUCAUCGCAGCAAUGACUCGUUUAAAUAUUUCUACACGAUUCAGUUUGGCAAAAAGAUGAAUGUCAGGUCCCCCUCCCCGUCACACUAUUGUAUCUAAGGCGCGACAUCACUAAAUAAAUAAAAUACUGUAUCUUUCCUAACGUGCGCUAGACUCAAGGGGCUUUUCGCAAACAAUAUUCUCGAAACACAUCUGUAUCAUCACGAAGAAAGAAACCGUCACACUGUUUUCUCUAAGGUGCGAUGUCUCUAAAUAAAGAAAAUACUGUAUCUUUCCUAAUGUGCUUUUAACUCGAGGUCUUUCCCAAACCCUACCCUGAAGAACAAGAGUAACGUAGCCUUCAAGUUACGAUACUCUCCAAAAACUCUUCUUUAUCAUCACGAAGAAAGAAACCGUCACACUAUUUUAUCUAUGGCGCGACAUCUCUAAAUAAAUAAAAUACUGUAUCUUUCCUAACGUGUAAUAAAUUCAACUGGCUUUUCGCAAACAAUAUUCUCGAAACACAUCUGUAUCAUCACGAAGGAAGAAACCGCCACACUAUUUUAUUUAACGCGCGAAAUGUAUGAAUAAAGAAAAUACUAUCUUUUUUCCUAACAAACAAUACUCUCGAAACAUCUGUAUUAUCACGAAAAAAGAAGCCAUUACACUGUUUUAUCUAAGGUGCGAUAUGUAUGAAUUAAGAAAAUAUAUUAUAUACUGUAGCUUUCCUAACGUGCGCUAAGCUCUAGUGGCUUUUCACAAACAAUACUCUCGAAACAUCUGUAUUAUCAUGAAAUAAGAAGCCAUCACACUGAUUUAUCUAACGCGCGAAAUGUAUGAAUAUAGAAAAUAUAUGCUGUAGCUUUCCUAACGUGCGCUAAGCUCUAGUGGCUUUUCACAAACAAUACUCUCGAAACAUCUGUAAUGUCACGAAAAAAAAGCCAUUACACUGUUUUAUCUAAGGUGCGAAAUGUAUGAAUAUAGAAAAUAUAUACUGUAGCUUUCCUAACGUGCGCUAAACUCGUGUCUUUUCACAUACACCACCCUAAAAACAAGUCACGGUGCCCUCCUCAGUUACGCUAUGCACUGGAAACUCAUCUCUAUCAACAUUAGAAGUACGGCACUGUUUUAUCUAACGUCCGACGAUAUCCACAAAAGAGUAACGUAUCUUUCCUCAAAAUUACGAUACCCUCUCGAAACUUAUAUUUCUUUAUCAACAUGCAAUAAAGAAACCGCCACACUGUUGUAUAUAACGCAAGACAAUAUCCACACAAAAAGUAACGUAGUCUUCCUGAAAGUCACGAUACUCUCCUGAAACUUAUCUUCAUCAUGAAAAACAGAGAAACCCUCACGCUGUUUUAUCUAACGUACGACAAUAUCUACACACAAAAAGUAACUUAGCCUUCCUGAAAGUCACGAUACUCUCCAGAAACUUAACUUCAUCAUGAGAAAAAGAGAAACCGCCACGCUGUUUUAUCUAACGUACGACAAUAUCCACACACAAAAAGUAACGUAGUCUUCCUGAAAGUCACGAUACUCAACAGAAACUAAUCUUCAUCAUGAGAAAAAGAGAAACCGCCACGCUGUUUUAUCUAACGUACGACAAUAUCCACACACAAAAGCAACAUAGCCUUCCUCAAAAUUACGAUACUCUCUCGAAACUCAUCUUCCUUUAUCAACAUGAAAUAACGAAACCGCACAAAAAAGUGACGUAGCCUUUCUGAAAAUCACGAUAUUGUCCAAAAACUUAUCUUUACCAUCACGAAAAAAAUGGAAACCGCCACGCACGAUAGCCGCCACGCUGUUUUAUCAAAGGUACGACAAUAUCCACUCGGGUCUCGACGCCGAACACUUCGCAGCACAAAAACUUGGACCCGUGGGACAUGUGCAUACUUUCCCCUUCACUUUCCUGUGCUCUCUGACAUAUACAACAAGUUCAAUCUAGGCACCGACGCUCCAGUUUUCCUUAAUUUCGAACCAGAUUUUGAUUACCAUUAUAGUCGUUACAUUUCUGUCUUGCUUGCUGCCUUUCUGCUGUUUUUUGUUGCUCUGAAAGGUCAUGGAAGGGAGGAGGAGGAGGAGGAGGCGGAGGAGGAGAGGCAGGGCAGGUCAGCAGGAAGAAAGGAGAAGAGGGGGGAGGAGGAGUGAAUAGGCGGAUAGUGAGCGAGUGAUUGUUACAUUUCUGCUUUGUCUGCUGUCUUUCUGCUGGUUUUUGCUGCUUUGAAAGGUCAUGAAAGGGAGGAGGAGGAGGAAAAGGAAGAGAGGCAGGGCACGAUAGCAGGAAGAAAGAAGGAGGAGCGAGAAAGCAGAUAUUGAAUGAGUGAUUGUUACAUUUCUGGUUUGUUUGCUGCCUUUCUGCUGGUUUUUGCUGCUUUGAAAGGUCAUGGAAGGGAGGAGGAGGAGGAGGAGGAGGAAAAGGAAGAGAGGCAGGGCACGAUAGCAGGAAGAUAGGAGGAGGAGCGAGAAAGCAGAUAUUGAAUGAGUGAUUGUUACAUUUCUGGUUUGUUUGCUGCCUUUCUGCUGGUUUUUGCAGCUCUGAAAGGUCAUGGAAGGGAGGAGGAGAGGCAGGCCAGGUCAGGAGAAGUGAGUAGGCAGAUAGCGCACAUGAGUGAGUGAUUAUAUGUUACAUUUCUGCUUUCUCUGCUGCCUUUCUGUUAUUUUCUUUUCCGUUCUGAGAGGUCAUGGGGAAAAGGAGGAGGAGGAGGAGGAGUAAAAGGAAGAAGGAUAGAGGGUGAGAAGACAGCCAGAGCAAGGUGUGGGUGGGGAGUGAGUUUGCAAAAUUAUCUAAACUGGUUCCCUUUCAAAGUAACGCCGCCAGCCUCUUAGAAGCUUUCAUAAACGAGUAAAGUUGAUUAGUAAUGCUGCUUCCUUUUUUUCUCUCAGACUGGUGGGUUGACCAAUAAGGUAAAAAAAGAAAAAAAGGAAGUUGGGUAUGCGGGCAAGAGUGACCCCGCGUUGCCUAAUCUUUUAACCUGGUAGCAGCGAUGGGCCAAAUUUGUGGCUUUACCGUGUACCAGCGACGGGCCAAAUUUUUGCCAUGAUAUAAACCCCCUUAAAUAGAUGAUGCAUAAACUAAUCACAAAUGCGUUGAUAUAUGUUAUGAAAUGGUUUGCGUAAGUGAUUUUUUUCUCAUUUUUCUCGCUUUGAGGGGCCUUUAAGAAACAUGAUCCCCGCUGCUACCGAGUUAAACUUGUUCGGCAUUUUAAAGUAUGAGAUCGCACACGCCUUAAAAAAUAUUGGUAUCAUAAACAAAUAAAUACAAAGAAAAUAAAGUAAGUUGGGAAUGUGAACAAGAAAUGACCCCACGUUGCCUAAUCUUUUAAACGUGUUCGACAUUUUAAAGUAUCAGAUCGCACACGCCUUAAAAAUAUUGGUAUCAUAAAUUUAUAAAAAGAAAAUAAAGGAAAUUGGGAAUGUGGACAAAAAGUGACCCCACAUUGCCUAAUCUCUAAACUAGUUCAACAUUUUAAUUAACGAAUCCCACACGCCCUAAACUUGAACGCGUGAAAGAAAAUGUCAACGUGUUAACAGUGACCUAAUCUUGCCCGAUCUUUAUCUUAUAACUAUUUAGCUAUUUUUAGGAUCAAAUCGCACACGUCUUUAAAUUAGUUGGGUUCAUUUACGCGUAAGAGAAGAUAAAUAAAAAAAAAGGGAGUUGGGUUUGAGGUCGAGAAGUAACCCCACAUUGCCAAAGCUUUUAACCUACUUCUCUGUUUUUAGUAUCAAAUUGAACACGUCUAAAAAUAACUGGUAUCAUAAAAAUAAAUGAAAAAAUAAAA